rnacentral:rRNA from 1 species
GACAGAGGGUGCAAACGUUGCUCGGAAUCACUGGGCGUAAAGGGCGCGUAGGCGGCGCGGAUAGUCGGCGGUGAAAGCCCGGAGCUCAACUCCGGGUCGGCCGUCGAUACUUCCGGGCUUGAGCACUGUAGAGGCAGAUGGAAUUCCGGGUGUAGCGGUGGAAUGCGUAGAGAUCCGGAAGAACACCGGUGGCGAAGGCGGUCUGCUGGGCAGUUGCUGACGCUGAUGCGCGACAGCGUGGGGAGCAAACGAGG